ACCCUGGGGAUAACAGGCUUAUCUCCCCCAAGAGUCCACAUCGACGGGGAGGUUUGGCACCUCGAUGUCGGCUCAUCACAUCCUGGGGCUGUAGUAGGUCCCAAGGGUUGGGCUGUUCGCCCAUUAAAGUGGUACGCGAGCUGGGUUCAGAACGUCGUGAGACAGUUCGGUCCCUAUCCGUCGCAGGCGUAGGAAAUUUGAGAAGACCUGUCCUUAGUACGAGAGGACCGGGAUGGACGUACCUCUGGUGUACCA
rnacentral:rRNA from 1 species